rnacentral:rRNA from 1 species
AUUGAACGCUGGCGGCAGGCCUAACACAUGCAAGUCGAACGGUAACAGGAAGAAGCUUGCUUCUUUGCUGACGAGUGGCGGACGGGUGAGUCAUGUCUGGGAAACUGCCUGAUGGAGGGGGAUAACUACUGGAAACGGUAGCUAAUACCGCAUAACGUCGCAAGACCAAAGAGGGGGACCUUCGGGCCUCUUGCCAUCGGAUGUGCCCAGAUGGGAUUAGCUAGUAGGUGGGGUAACGGCUCACCUAGGCGACGAUCCCUAGCUGGUCUGAGAGGAUGACCAGCCACACUGGAACUGAGACACGGUCCAGACUCCUACGGGAGGCAGCAGUGGGGAAUCUUGCGCAAUGGGCGCAAGCCUGAUGCAGCCAUGCCGCGUGUAUGAAGAAGGCCUUCGGGUUGUAAAGUACUUUCAGCGGGGAGGAAGGGAGUAAAGUUAAUACCUUUACUCAUUGACGUUACCCGCAGAAGAAGCACCGGCUAACUCCGUG